rnacentral:lncRNA from 1 species
GUGGUAGCAGAGUCACUGCAGAGAACCAGACAAUACCAGGUUGCUUAUAAAAGGAUGCCAUGUGCUUGCUGGAGGUCCCAGGUGCAACCAAAUUGCUUGCAGCUAGGAGGACCUUGAAGAGAAAUGGGAUCAGCCCGCCAAACCAAGAAGGGUUAGCACUUUUGCUAGGAGAGCUGACCACGCACAAACAGAUGAGAACCAAAACCGAGUGAAGAGGAUUGAAGAUGAACCCACAUUUUAAAAGUUCUUGUCUGCUGGAGGUGGCAUUACCUGUGACCUCGCUUCACUUCUCCAUACAUGGCUGUUAUAGCAGUAACAGAAAAUCCAGCUUUCUGAAGCAUAUUUCACGACAUAUGAUGAGACUUAUGUGAUGUGAGACCUGAGAAAACUAUGAUAGAAAGAAGCAACUCAAGUUGCAAGGAUAUUCCUCAUGUAUCAUGCAAGGAUAUUCCUCAUAUAUCAUAGACUAAGGUGUCAGUAUGUUCUUCAAGCUGCUCUGCUCCUGGGCCCAAGCUAUUCUCCUGCCUCAGCCUUCCAAGAAGCUGAAACUACAAGAACACAAGACUGUACCUGGCUUGCAAACACCAUUGCUAAUAAGAAGAUAUUGUAAGACUGAUACCUAAGAGAUAAGAGAGUCUCACUCAUUCUGUCGCCCAGGCUGGAGUGCAGUGGCGUGAUCUCAGCUCACUGCAACCUCCACCUCCCGGAUUCAAGCGAUUCUCCUGCCUCAGCCUCCUGAGUAGCUGGGACUACAGACAGGCCCUCCCUCCGUUGCCCAGGUGGGAGUGCAGUGGUGUGAUGUCAGUUCACUGCAACCUUGGCCUCCCGGAUUCAAGCGAUUCUCCUGCCUUAACCUUCCGAACAUGGAUCCCUGAGGUCGGUCCCCAAUACGACAAGACAAUUUGAUAUCAUAAUAGAACACUGCAGAAACAAUGCUGAGUGAAGAAGAGUAGAAAUGGGAAGACUUGGUUGAGCGGAAACUGAGUUCUUGAAAAGAGGAGAUGCUUGAUGAGGGCAUGGAUCCCUGAGGUCUGCCCCAGUACUAUAAGACAAUUUGAUGUAAGAAAACACAGCAGAUAUAAUACUGAGUGAAGAAGAGUAUAAAUGAGAAGAUUGGUUGUGCAGAUACUGAGUUCAUGAAAAGAGGAGAUGAUUGAUGAGGGCCAGGUGCGGUGACUCAUGCCUGUAAUCCCUGCACUUUGGGAGGCUGCGGCGGGCGGAUCACCUGAGGUCAGGAGUUCGAGACCAGCCUGGGAGACAGAGCAUGGAAACCUAAGGUCUGUACCCAAAACUACAGGACUAUUUGACAUCAUAAUAAAACACUGCAGAUAUGAUGCUGAGUAAGAGUAGAAAUGGGAAGACUUGGUUGUGCAGUAACUGAGUUCUUGAAAAGAGGAG